rnacentral:rRNA from 1 species
UGGGGAAUAUUGGACAAUGGGCGCAAGCCUGAUCCAGCAAUACCGCGUGUGUGAAGAAGGCCUGCGGGUUGUAAAGCACUUUAAGUUGGGAAGAAAAGCUGUUGGUUAAUACCCAGCAGUGUUGACGUUACCAACAGAAUAAGCACCGGCUAACUCUGUGCCAGCAGCCGCGGUAAUACAGAGGGUGCAAGCGUUAAUCGGAAUUACUGGGCGUAAAGCGUACGUAGGUGGCUAAAUAAGUCAGAUGUGA